rnacentral:snRNA from 1 species
AUACUUACCUGGACAGGGUCAAUGGGUGAUCAUUAAGGUCCAUGGCUUAUGCUAGCGACCGCCAUUGCACUUUGGAAGGGUGCAUGCGUAAGGUCGACCCACUUGGUCGAGUCUAUGUCAUAAUUUGUGCUAGAGGAAGCCUACGUUUGCGCGGCCUCUGC